rnacentral:rRNA from 1 species
CGCAGCCGCGGGAAUACGAAGGGGGCUAGCGUUGUUCGGAAUUACUGGGCGUAAAGCGCACGUAGGCGGAUAUUUAAGUCAGGGGUGAAAUCCCAGAGCUCAACUCUGGAACUGCCUUUGAUACUGGGUAUCUUGAGUAUGGAAGAGGUGAGUGGAAUUCCGAGUGUAGAGGUGAAAUUCGUAGAUAUUCGGAGGAACACCAGUGGCGAAGGCGGCUCACUGGUCCAUUACUGACGCUGAGGUGCGAAAGCGUGGGGAGCAAACAGGAUUAGAUACCCCCGUAGUCCCUGUCUCUUAUACA